rnacentral:rRNA from 1 species
GAUGAACGCUGGCGGCGUGCCUAAUACAUGCAAGUCGAGCGAACAGACGAGGAGCUUGCUCCUCUGACGUUAGCGGCGGACGGGUGAGUAACACGUGGAUAACCUACCUAUAAGACUGGGAUAACUUCGGGAAACCGGAGCUAAUACCGGAUAAUAUAUUGAACCGCAUGGUUCAAUAGUUAAAGACGGUUUUGCUGUCACAUAUAGAUGGAUCCGCGCCGCAUUAGCUAGUUGGUAAGGUAACGGCUUACCAAGGCAACGAUGCGUAGCCGACCUGAGAGGGUGAUCGGCCACACUGGAACUUAGACACGGUCCAGACUCCUACGGGAGGCAGCAGUAGGGAAUCUUCCGCAAUGGGCGAAAGCUUGACGGAGCAACGCCGCGUGAGUGAUGAAGGUCUUCGGAUCGUAAAACUCUGUUAUUAGGGAAGAACAAAUGUGUAAGUAACUAUGCACGUCUUGACGGUACCUAAUCAGAAAGCCACGGCUAACUACGUG